GUCCCACCUGCCCAGUGAAAAAUUUUCAACGGGCGCGGUAUCCUAACCGUGCAAAGGUAGCGCAAUCACUUGCCCUCUAACUGUGGGCUAGUAUGAACGGUUAAAUGAGGGCCUAACUGUCUCCUGAAGUCGAUCAAUGAAUUUGAUUACCCAGUACAAACGCUGAAAUAUACACACAAGACGAGAAGACCCUGUGGAACUUUAAAUGCUCGUACUAGCAGGCCCCCCCCCCCAAAUACGCCCACACUAGCACAAUUUUAAGUUGGGGCAACUACGGAGUAAAACAGAACCUCCACGAACCGCGACUAGCCCUCGCACACAAGGCGGACACGCCAACAACCAUGCAAAGCUUGAUCCAGUAAAACUGAUUUCCGAACCAAGCUACCCCAGGGAUAACAGCGCCAUCCCCUUCAAGAGCCCAUAUCGCCAAGGGGGCUUACGACCCCGAUGUUGGAUCAGGACACCCAGGCGGUGCAGCCGCUGCCAAAGGUUCGUUUGUUCAACGAAUAAUGUCCU
rnacentral:rRNA from 1 species